rfam:Nasonia vitripennis chromosome 1 unlocalized genomic scaffold Chr1_random100, whole genome shotgun sequence.
CAACCGGCCCUUUUCAGGGCCACCAAUACGUCCAGCGUAUGACUUU